UGCUCCCACCUUGAUGAUAAUGGACUGAACCUCUGAACCUGAUAACAUGGAAAGCCCAAGGAUCUGUUGUCAAGUCAAUAGAAGAAGAAAUUUGUUUUGAAUAAUUUCCUUGGAAGUCCAAUCUAAGAAAACCACUAUGAGAAAAUAUUGUUCUCCUGCUCUUCACGGCAAUGAAAACGAGAAAAAGGAGGAGAGUGCCAGGGCAGACAGGGAGCUACAGUCAUUUGUUUUCCUGCCUCUUUUGGACACCCCAGGCCCAAUGAUGAGAUGGCAUUUUUCUGGUUUCAGCAGCUGUUUCGUAGCAGACAAUAAAGUAAAAACUAUUUAGCUUUGCAGAAAAGCCACUUCUGUCCUCUUGACAACACAAGAUGUUGUGAGGAUAUGCAAGUGAUGAAGCUGGAAAUCUAGGAGAAAUUAUUGUGAUCCUGAAACUAUUCUACACAAUCACCUGCUUUGAAAAAGACUUCCCAAGGUUAGUACACCUUUAACGUGUCCUUCUCUGCCCUGAAGGAGGAAGGAGAACAUUCAGCUAUACAUUUUUCAGAUGAUUCUUAUCUACUGCUAUAAAUCAUCCUCUUAUAAACUACUAAUUUCAAUUUUGGAUUUAUUUCUGAAUUCUUCUGUAGCAAUUCUAUUCAAAUCAUUAAAUACUCAUAGGGGAAAAAUAGUCACCCUAUACUCCUAUAGUAGUUUUUAUAAAUCUUUUCAUUGUUUAAAUUUUGAAAAAAAAAGUGUACAAAAACUGUGAUAUAACUAAGAAUGUAUUUUUAAGAUGUUUUUCUGUCUUUCUAUAUUUUAUAGUUUUCUUUACAUUUAGCAUUUAAAUAUAUUCUUUCAUAUCUCAUAUUCACUGUCAUUUGUAUACAUUAAAUUUCUUGUUACACUUUCUAAUUGGUAAUUGUAUAGCUCAAAAGCUACUGAUAUGUAAUUAAUUUUAAAAAUAUCAUUCUUAAUAAUUUUUGUCUUUUAUGAUAAAUUUCACUGAGUUUUCCAAGUUUAUAGCAAUCUACAAGUAAUGCCGUUUUUCCUGCCCUUCCAAUUUUUAAAAUAUAUUUCUUGUUCUUAUGACGGUUAGCUCUUUGACAACUCAAUACUAUUGAUCACCAUUUCUACUGGGGUGUCCCUCCAACCAAUUUCACAAGAAUCUUCAGUUGUACACCCAUGAGUUAAUUCAUAGAUGGAUUGAUCUCUGUGCUGAGAAAAGGUAAUUUGAUUAAGAUCAUUACAAAGCCUGUAUCUUUAUCUUUGUUUCAAAGUGCCUAAAAUAAACUUGCUGCUGAAUUCAGUUUAA